rnacentral:rRNA from 1 species
UGGGGAAUUUUGGACAAUGGGCGCAAGCCUGAUCCAGCAAUGCCGCGUGAGUGAAGAAGGCCUUCGGGUUGUAAAGCUCUUUUGUCAGGGAAGAAACGGCUGUGGCUAAUAUCCACGGCUAAUGACGGUACCUGAAGAAUAAGCACCGGCUAACUACGUGCCAGCAGCCGCGGUAAUACGUAGGGUGCAAGCGUUAAUCGGAAUUACUGGGCGUAAAGCGUGCGCAGGCGGUUUUGUAAGUCUGUCGUGAAAUCCCCGGGCUCAACCUGGGAAUUGCGAUGGAGACUGCAAGGCUAGAAUCUGGCAGAGGGGGGUAGAAUUCCACGUGUAGCAGUGAAAUGCGUAGAGAUGUGGAGGAACACCGAUGGCGAAGGCAGCCCCCUGGGUCAAGAUUGACGCUCAUGCACGAAAGCGUGGGGAGCAAACAGGAUUAGAUACCCUGGUAGUCCACGCCCUAAACGAUGUCUACUAGUUGUCGGGUUUUAAUUAACUUGGUAACGCAGCUAACGCGUGAAGUAGACC